rnacentral:rRNA from 1 species
UCGGAAUCAUUGGGCGUAAAGGGCGCGCAGGCGGCUGCGCAAGCCUGGUGUGAAAGACCGCAGCUUAACUGCGGGCACGCGCUGGGAACUGUGUGGCUUGAGUUCCGGAGGGGAAGCUGGAAUUCCUGGUGUAGGGGUGAAAUCUGUAGAUAUCAGGAAGAACAUCAGCGGCGAAGGCGAGCUUCUGGCCGUGAACUGACGCUGAGGCGCGAAAGCGUGGGGAGCGAACAGGAUUAGAUACCCUGGUAGUCCACGCCGUAAACGUUGUGCACUAGGUGUUGGACCGCUUGAAGGUUCAGUGCCGUAGCUAACGCGUUAAGUGCACCGCCUGGGGAGUAUGCCCGCAAGGGUGAAACUCAAAGGAAUUGACGGGGGCCCGCACAAGCGGAGGAAUAUGUGGUUUAAUUCGAUGAUACGCGAGGAACCUUACCUGGGCUUAAAUGCAGGCUGCAUUCCGGAGAAAUCCGGAUUUCCUACGGGACCGCCUGCAAGGUGCUGCAUGGUUGUCGUCAGCUCGUGCCGUGAGGUGUCGGGUUAAGUCCCAUAGCGAGCGCAACCCCUAUCGCUAGUUGCCAGCAUGUAAUGGUGGGGACUCUAGCGAGACUGCCGGUGUAAACCGGAGGAAGGUGGGGAUGACGUCAAAUCAGCACGGCCCUUACGUCCAGGGCUACACGCGUGCUACAAUGGCCGGUACAGAGAGCAGCCACCUGGCGACAGGGUGCUAAUCUCGAAAGCCGGUCUCAGUUCGGAUCGAAGUCUGCAAUUCGACUUCGUGAAGGU